UGGGGCGCUGAGCUCAUUUCUGUCCGCUGAUGGACUGCGAUAUGGACCGAGGCGGGAUCAUGUCCAACAGGUACUCCCUCUGUCGGUCUGCUAAGCUGGAUGUCUUAUGGGCUCCCACGGCGGCAGGAUUCAGGGCCUUCACAAAGGCGUUCUUCAGCCGGUUGGUGUGCUCUGCCUUCAAAGCCUUCUUCUGGUUGGAUGUCAUGCACUGCUCGCAGAGGAUUCGCCCGCUCUUCUCUUGCUUCCAGUGGGGAGUGAAGUCAGUUCGGCAUUGGGCGCAGAAGAAGGGCUCCAUACGAGCCAGCGCGCCUCGGAGUUUACCUGCAGACGACACCCAGCAACGCUCAGGGGAUGUCACCGUGAGUGGACUCGUCGUACAAUCUUCCUUUGCUUACCCUGACUGUCCAGCACGCUCUGCACCACCUCCUCCAGGCCCACCAUGUAGAUGAACUCGCUGUUGGCAGCAGAGGGCAGGAAGUGGAGGAGCGGCGCCGGAGGUUUGGGGGGAGGGAUCUCCAGCAAGGUCUUCUCCAGCUGCUUCCUGAGGGCCAGCUUGGCUGCUGCCUGGCUGCUGGCCUGGUCGGCCAUGGAGCCCACCCCCGCGCCAGCGGCGGCGGACAGGGUGGACGGGCUGACGGCAGAAGCUCCGCCCAGGCCUCCCGUCACGCUGCCCCCUGCUGCUGCCGCCUGCAUGUGGGCCAGGUUCAUGUACAUGGCACUGGAGCCAGAGUGCUGCGAGGCUGCCACCUGCUGGCUGGCCUGGAGAAAAACAGAUUCAGAGGCAAAAUUGGUGAAUUCUUGAGCAUCACUGGCACAGGGUUAAGAUAAGAAAAAAAAAAAAAGAAUGCCUGCUUGUAAAUUGUUGUACUAUUUUCUACCCAUCUAACAUAGGCUACCUACUUUUUGAGGAGACGCAACUGAAGUAUAAAAUCAGGAAUUCUACACAGUUUCCUGUGAAUGUGGGACCAUUUCAACGCGAAGAUGAUUCAUCUGAAUAACAAAAACAACUGAACAAACAGUAGUUUUAUUUUGGUAAAUACCUGCUGGUAACUGACGGCGCUGGGCAUGGUGCCGGAACCAGAACGGGACAUGCCUAGUUUGGAGGAAACUCUUUGUCCCUGCAGGUGAGAGGGGUUGGGGGCGAUCACUCGCUGGGACAUCAGCAUGGAAGGCAGGCUGGUAUUUGCUGACCGGAUGACUGUAUGACCCUAAAAACAACAAAAUGAAACCAAGAAAAAAAAAAAAAAA